rnacentral:rRNA from 1 species
CAGUCGCCGCGGGAAUACGAAGGGUGCAAGCGUUAAUCGGAAUUAUUGGGCGUAAAGGGUGCGUAGGCGGUUUGAUAAGUCAUCUGUGAAAUCUCUGGGCUCAACCCAGAGUCUGCAGGCGAAACUGUCGGGCUUGAGUAUGGGAGAGGUGAGUGGAAUUUCCGGUGUAGCGGUGAAAUGCGUAGAUAUCGGAAGGAACACCUGUGGCGAAAGCGGCUCACUGGACCAUAACUGACGCUGAUGCACGAAAGCUAGGGGAGCAAACAGGAUUAGAUACCCCAGUAGUCCCUGUCUCUUAUAU